rnacentral:rRNA from 1 species
AAUAGAUACCCCGGUAGUCCAUGCCGUAAACGUUGGGAACUAGAUGUAGGGCCUGUUCCACGGGUUCUGUGUCGUAGCUAACGCAUUAAGUUCCCCGCCUGGGGAGUACGGCCGCAAGGCUAAAACUCAAAGGAAUUGACGGGGGCCCGCACAAGCGGCGGAGCAUGCGGAUUAAUUCGAUGCAACGCGAAGAACCUUACCAAGGCUUGACAUGUAGAAGAACACUGCAGAGAUGCAGGACUCUUUGGACACUUCUAUACAGGUGGUGCAUGGUUGUCGUCAGCUCGUGUCGUGAGAUGUUCGGUUAAGUCCGGCAACGAGCGCAACCCUCGUCCUAUGUUGCCAGCACGUUAUGGUGGGAACUCAUGGGAUACUGCCGUGGUCAACACGGAGGAAGGUGGGGAUGACGUCAAAUCAUCAUGCCCCUUAUGUCUUGGGCUUCACGCAUGCUACAAUGGCCGGUACAAAGAGCAGCGAUACCGUGAGGUGGAGCGAAUCUCAAAAAGCCGGUCUCAGUUCGGAGUU